rnacentral:rRNA from 1 species
UACGAAGGGUGCAAGCGUUACUCGGAAUUACUGGGCGUAAAGCGUGCGUAGGUGGUGAGUUAAGUCUGUCGUGAAAGCCCCGGGCUCAACCUGGGAAUGGCGAUGGAUACUGGCUCGCUAGAGUGCGGUAGAGGAGAGUGGAAUUUCCGGUGUAGCGGUGAAAUGCGUAGAUAUCGGAAGGAACGCCAGUGGCGAAAGCGGCUCCCUGGUCCAGCACCGACGUUCAGGCACGAAAGCGUGGGGAGCAAACAGG